AUACUUACCUGGCAGGGGACAUACCAUGAUCACAAAGGUGGUUUUCCCAGAGUGAGAUUUAUCCAUUGCACUCCAGAUGUGCUGGCCUCUGUGAUUUCCCCAAAUGUAGGAAACUUGACUGCAUAAUUUGUGGUAGUGGGGAGCGUUUGCACUCUCCCCAC